rnacentral:lncRNA from 1 species
UUGCCUAGUAUUAGGGGGUGUUUGGCCUAGCUUUUAAAAAGCGCUUUUGGGUAAAAAAGUGAUUUUCGGUUCAAUAGAGCGUUUGGCAACUCAUUUUUAAAAUCUAAGGCCCUGUUUGGCUUAGCUUCUGAAAAAGUGAUUUCUGAAAAAUUGAUUUUAGUUUGGAGAAGUGAUUUCUGUUAAAAGCUGUAGAGCGUUUGGCUGAGUCUGAUAGAAAAGUGAUUAUGCUGAAGUGAUUUUAGAAAGCUGUUUGGCAAAUUUUUUUACUGAAGUGAUUUUGUAAUGUUAUUUAACAUUAGUUUUUUUUAUAGACACAAUACAGUAAUUCAAAUCCUCAACCUUAAUUUAGUUUCAGAAAAUUCAUA